UACGUAGGGUGCGAGCGUUGUCCGGAUUUAUUGGGCGUAAAGGGCGCGUAGGCGGCUCAUGAAGGCUGUGGUGAAAGUCCGGGGCUCAACCUCGGAUCGGCCGUGGCGACUCGUGGGCUGGAGCACUGUAGAGGCGGGUGGAAUUCCGGGUGUAGCGGUGGAAUGCGUAGAGAUCCGGAAGAACACCAGUGGCGAAGGCGGCCCGCUGGGCAGUGGCUGACGCUGAGGCGCGACAGCGUGGGGAGCAAACAGG
rnacentral:rRNA from 1 species